GGAGAGGUGGCCGAGUGGCUGAAGGCGCACGCUUGGAAAGCGUGUUUACAUCACAAGUGUAACGAGGGUUCGAAUCCCUCUCUCUCCGC
rnacentral:tRNA from 1 species